rnacentral:rRNA from 1 species
AUGGACGCCGCCGACGAGCUGAAGCGUGCACGCGGCGGCGGCGGCAAGCAAUCCGUGGACCGGCUGAGCGCCCUGCCGGACGACCUCCUGCACGCCGUCCUUUCGCGCCUCAAGGCCCGUCAGGUGGUGCGGACGUGCGUGCUGUCCACGCGGUGGAGGCACCUCUGGCGCUCCGUGCCGUGCCUCCGCAUCGACCAGCGACGGCUUCCUCCUCAAGCGGCAAAGAUUCAAGAACUUUGCUCACAUCGCUCACUGAAAUCAUAUACCCGAAGUAUGACAAUCAUCAUGUCCACCUAUUGGUCAUGUUUUUGUUAG